GCAGUCAUGGCGCAAUGGCAGCGCUUAUGUUUCCGGCUCUCCUCCAGCAGGGAUGGUGGCUACAUAGGGUUGCAGGUUCGAGUCCUGUUGACUGCG
rnacentral:tRNA from 1 species